UACCUUUGUGUUUGACUUCAAUUACUUCUUAUAUAGCCUAGUACUCUUCUGCUUUGUUUAACACCGAAGGAAAAAACCAAUUGUGUCAAUAUCGUUUAUAUCGAUGGCAGAUACUUACUAUAAUCCUUUUCUUGCAAUACAUAGUUGGAUAAGCAAUGAAGUAGCUUGGGUUUAUUCUACUAAUUGCUUAACCAUUUUGUACGAUUUCCACAUUUCUAGGUUAAUCAUGGCAACUUGUAUCCUAUGCUUUAAAAUGAAGGAAGCCGAUGCGAAAACACAUGCAUACGGCUUCACUUAAUCCCCUCCUGAUAUUUUUCCACGGUUGCCCCCAGUUUCUACUUCGCAUAUUCUUUUAUUAUAGAACGAAAUGAAUUUCUUGCCCUACACCACUUGUGGUACAAGAUGCAUUAAGCAAUAGCCAAAAAGGUUUGAGAGAGACCCACUUCUUAUUGUACUGACCGCCUAUCCUUCAACUUUAAGCUUUUAUGAUUAUCUGUUCAUCUGUCCGUCUGUUGUCUGUUUGUGUUCAACUCACAGGUCACAAUUUUUCAAAUAUCGGAUCGGACCAUUUUAUCGGUCACUUCCCAAUGUCGUUAUAUGACUAACUUCAUUAAACUGUGUUAAGUGAGGUUAGGUAUUAAUAGUGGUCCGCGAUCAACUAUAAUGUCUUUACUACCUAAAACCUAUGAAUGAUUUCAUUCCGACUUAUCUCUCAAGCUUAACUAACAAAUUCCACGAGUUAUUUGUUUUAUUUUUGUCAGUACGAAACUCGUCCUUCUCAAUCACCAAUUAUUUCGCAGAAUUCGAUCCAAACCCCCAAAUUGUUCCCUGCUUUCCUAGAAAUAUCUGCACCUCUACCAUUUCCCUAUGUAGGGGGAAAAUUACAUAGAGUAUUAAGCAAAAAAUUUAAAGCAUAAUUGUUUUUAAACGAACUGUUGAUCAGAAACCUAAGUAAGAUUUAUCGAAGGAGAUUAUUAGAACGCCCGAAAAUAUGAUAUCAUUUUCAGACAACUGAAAAAAAAACAUGAAACUUUGAAAGUAACAUCAGUUACAGAAGGAAUAAAUAUUUAGGCAACACUUUAGCUAAGCAUUUUCACUUACGGAUACACUGCUUGUUAUACGGCAUAGUGCGUAAGUGGAUUCGUUUGCAUUGCUAGCUUGGUGGCUUCAUACGGUCGUAUACUAGAUUUUUUUUCAUUAUUAUUAUUGCUAUAAUAUUAUCACUUUUUUUAGACGAAUCAAAUAAGCCCUAAAAGACUGCUUUUUAUAUUACGAAGGAAUAGUAGAUAUUGAGCCGAGUAGUUCUAAUAAAGUAAUAUAUUAAUUUUAGCGAGAUGCUGCGAUCUGUAGCUGACGGCAGGAUUUGCAUAGGAUCGGUCAUACCCGAUGCGAUUCAUCUAAAUAAUGAAAGGCAAAUGCUUUGUUGUAACAAUUUGUCCGCAAUUGUAGAUUGGGGAGGUAGACUUCUCUAGGAUCAAUUGCUGCAUAGCAAUUGUAUGGCCAAGACGAGGGCGCGCAAAUGUUUUCAUCUUGAUUGUUGGUUUUUCUUUUUUUGAUUUUUAUUUUUAAAUUAAUUUAUGACAUCACACAACCUACAUA